ensembl:miRNA
CUGUGGACAUAGGCUACAGACUGGCUGAGAAUGUUACAGUUGUGUGUUUUCUUAUUUCCACAG